rnacentral:rRNA from 2 species
GACGUAGGGGGCGAGCGUUGUCCGGAUUCAUUGGGCGUAAAGCGCGCGUAGGCGGCUGCGCAAGUCGGUUGUGAAAUUCCGGGGCUCAACCCCGGAACUGCGUCCGAUACUGCGUGGCUAGAGGUAGGUAGGGGAGAUCGGAAUUCCUGGUGUAGCGGUGAAAUGCGCAGAUAUCAGGAGGAACACCGGUGGCGAAGGCGGAUCUCUGGGCCUUACCUGACGCUCAGGCGCGAAAGCUAGGGGAGCGAACAGG